AAUUUGUUGCUAAUUUCUGGCAAACUGCAAAUAUAAUCUUGUCAAAGGUUAAUUACUUACCUACCAAGAGUUGUUUUUUGAAAUUUGAGUUCGAUUAGACGGUGUUUUGAAAAGGGAUUUGUUGCCAAGUCCCUUUUAUUUUUGGGUUUAUAUGGUUUAUGUUUUUCUGAAAAUUUGGUUUCGGAUCAAGUUCUAAAAAUAAAGCGAAGCUGCUGUGCAGAAGAAAUACUUACCACGUUUGGGGUUCGACGUUUUUUUGGGUUGUGGUCAAAAGGCGCCGAGGCAAGCGUUAUCAUUUGUUGGGAGUAACCUUCCGUGAAAAACCUUUGUGGAUAAUCCUACCGCCAUUCAAUCUGGAAAAUUCGAAGUUCAAUUUAUAACAAUACACAAAUCAGUUGAUAAAUUAUAUGUACUUACCUACGACCAUUGCGCCGACCUGAUUAGCUGGCAUAUUUUACCUAUU